rnacentral:lncRNA from 1 species
CACAUAUAGAGAUCAGGCAUUGAAACACACACACACUCAUGUGGGUCAGUAGCACUGCUCAAUGCAACAUGAGUCCUGGGGCUGGACAUGGCAUGGGUCGGCUUGUUACGGGUUUGCUCGGAUUGGAACAAAACACGUGCUACCACACUGACACACACUUUGGGCUCAGGACAAAGCUCCUCCUGUGUUCUCUGCAUUACACUGCCAUCCCAACCCUCGGCGGGAGGUUGAACUGUCGUAUUGAGACUAGUGUGCUUGUCUGCCUGUGUGUGUGUGUGUUUCAACUGUGUGUGAUUGAUAGAUUGGUCUGAUGGUUUGAAAGGGAAAGUGAGUGAGGGAGAGAAAAGGCUGCGUGAGGGAGAGAGAAGGCUGCGUGAGGGAGAGAAGGCUGCGUGAGGGAGAGAGAAGGCUGCGUGAGGGAGAGAGAAGGCUGCGUGAGGGAGAGAGAAGGCUGCGUGAGGGAGAGAAAAGGCUGCGUGAGGGAGAGAAAAGGCUGCGUGAGGGAGAGAGAAGGCUGCGUGAGGGAGAGAGAAGGCUGCGUGAGGGAGAGAAAGGCUGCGUGAGGGAGGGAGAGAGGGGGAGGGAGCGAGAGUCAAGAGGUGGAGCGUUAUACGAGGGUCUCUGAACCACUGUAAUCUGAUUUAAGCUGCUUAUAGAAGAGGGGAGAGAGGGAGAGAGAGAGACCGGGAUGCUGAAAGAGAUGCAAAGAGAGAUUGGAUGCACAAUUACACUGACUAAAUCAGUGCACUUGGACUUCAAAAUGUAAGGUUUUUCCGAUCGCUUUGUUGGGAACCUUGUUGUCCAGUGAUAGUGGUUUUGGGAGAUCUAUGGAGCGAUGCUGGGAGGUUGACUGCUUUGGACUGGCAAUGUGCUGGGGCUUUCAUUCUCUCUGCUGGUUCAAUCAGGGAUGUCACCUGAGUGCUGGGAAGAUGAUCUGAAUCAAACUCUUGUUCUUGCUCAUUAGGCGGAUGAAAACCUUCACCCCUUAAACCUCCAGCCUUUUCUGACUUCUUAAGUCACUGGGAUGGUUGAUUGAAACGUUGACCUUUUUAUUCCCUGAUCGGAAUGAUGGAUUUGUACUUUGAUGGACUUUUGGUGGACUCUAACCCCUGACUUCUAAGUUAACCCCUGACAUGCUGAUAGUGUGGUGGUGUUCGGCCCUCCUGACCUACGUGUCCCUCUACCUCUCCCUGUCCUUCCUGCGUAG